UACGAAGGGGGCUAGCGUUGCUCGGAAUCACUGGGCGUAAAGCGCACGUAGGCGGAUCUUUAAGUCAGGGGUGAAAUCCUGGAGCUCAACUCCAGAACUGCCUCUGAUACUGGGGAUCUUGAGUCCGGAAGAGGUAAGUGGAACUGCGAGUGUAGAGGUGAAAUUCGUAGAUAUUCGCAAGAACACCAGUGGCGAAGGCGGCUUACUGGUCCGGUACUGACGCUGAGGUGCGAAAGCGUGGGGAGCAAACAGGAG
rnacentral:rRNA from 1 species